GUGGGGGAUAUUGCGCAAUGGGGGAAACCCUGACGCAGCAACGCCGCGUGAAGGAUGAAGGUUUUCGGAUUGUAAACUUCUUUGACGAGGGACGAUAAUGACGGUACCUCGAAAACAAGCCACGGCUAACUACGUGCCAGCAGCCGCGGUAAUACGUAGGUGGCAAGCGUUGUCCGGAUUUACUGGGUGUAAAGGGCGAGUAGGCGGGGCUUCAAGUCUGAUGUGAAAACUAUCGGCUUAACUGAUAGACUGCAUUGGAAACUGAGGUUCUUGAGUGAUGGAGAGGCAGGCGGAAUUCCUAGUGUAGCGGUGAAAUGCGUAGAUAUUAGGAGGAACACCAGUGGCGAAGGCGGCCUGCUGGACAUUAACUGACGCUGAGGCGCGAAAGCGUGGGGAGCAAACAGGAUUAGAUACCCCAGUAGUCC
rnacentral:rRNA from 1 species